GCUCAGGGGCCGGGCAGAUACCUACAUCAUCAGUUUACUCUUCUCUCCAGUUCAACUACUAAUUUUAAUUCUAAACUAAAUUAAAUCCAUCACAGCCCUCUGAUUAUAUCACAGUUCUUUAACACUCAACAUUUGAAUUCAAUUUCCCCUUUCCUAAAAAUUAAUGUGAACUGAACUGCAUCUAUUGCUGGCACCUAUUCUUUGUAAAAUACUACUCUCCAACCUACCACAGCAUGAGUCAGAAUCACCCAAAAUUUCACCAGCAGUUACGGAACAUCUCGUAUUUACAAAUAUUUGCAGUUUCACAUGAGGCUCAUUGGCUGGAUCCCUCUUUUAGCAGGAUGACCCAUUGUCUCUUCUGAAAAGAAUCAAGACUGGUCUCAUGACAGGUAUUAUAGAGUGUAGAUAUGUUUUAAAGUAUUUGAUGAAAACUUAAUUUUUAGUAUCUGUUUUGCAAUUAUGCAAUCUACACACUUGUCCUUCAUUUUGGGUAACUUUACAGUAUUGUCAUUUAAGAGUGCACAAGUUAUUUCUGUUUGUCAGUUUUGUUACCUUGAUUCAACCAUCAUAGCAGAUGCCUGAUACAGGAGCUGGGUCUGAUGGUCUGUGUUAAAUGCUCGAGCAUAUGCCACAUGAUCAAGGACAUCACUGCCAGAUAAGCCAUACCUAGAGAAACAAAUCAGAUGGGAACAACUUGGGAGGUUCUGCAACUUUGCCUACAACAGUUAACUAGCAGGUGCACCUGAAGGCUAGAUUAAACUGACCCUACAGGAUCUUACUGCCUAGAAACAGCAGCCACCCACCACCAUCCAGGACACCUCCGCAAAACAAACUUGAGAACAAGAGAAUGAAAACACACAAAUUACCAUCCUGCAAUGGAAUACACUAAAGGCAGUGUGAUACGCCAAUAAAACAUUACAAGACUGAAAAAAGAUUCAUGAACUAAUUUGAAUUUUAUUUUAUUAUAAAUUCAAGAGAUUUAUGUAAAGAGUAAUAAACAAUCCUCUAUCUGCAAUUCUUCAGUCACUGCUCCAUUAUUAAAGGUUGGAGCCACCUUUAUGACUGAUUUCUUGCCAUUGGGCAUAUUGAUAAUGACCCAGAGGUCCCUUAAAAUUUAGAGAACAGCUGGUUAAGUACUUCCUUCCACAAAGACAAGUGUGUUGGCCCACAAGCUGGUAGUUGUACCAGUUUGUUGCCAUGCAGCAUAUUUGGGUUUACCAAAUAUAGUCAUGGAAAGGCCUAUGGACCCUGAGUGUAUGUUGCAUAUAGACUGGUAGCUGU